rnacentral:misc_RNA from 1 species
UACGGAGGGUGCGAGCGUUAAUCGGAUUUACUGGGCGUAAAGCGUGCGUAGGCGGCUUUUUAAGUCGGCUGUGAAAUCCCCGAGCUUAACGGGGGAAUUGCAUUCGAUACGGGGAAGCUAGAGUAUGGGAGAGGAGGGUAGAAUUCCUGGUGUAGCGGUGAAAUGCGUAGAGAUCUGGAGGAAUACCGAUGGCGAAGGCAGCCAUCUGGGCUAAUACUGACGCUGAGGUACGAAAGCAUGGGGAGCAAACAGG